GAUGAACGCUAGCUACAGGCUUAACACAUGCAAGUCGAGGGACCGGCGCACGGGUGAGUAACACGUAUCCAACCUGCCCUUUACUCGGGGAUAGCCUUUCGAAAGAAAGAUUAAUACCCGAUAUAAAGGAUGGGGAUGCGUUCCAUUAGGUUGUUGGUGAGGUAACGGCUCACCAAGCCUUCGAUGGAUAGGGGUUCUGAGAGGAAGUUCCCCAACAUUGGAACGGGGACACGGUCCAAACUCCAACGGGAGGCAGCAGGGAUGAAUAGUGUUCAAUGGUCGCUAGCCGGAACCAGCCAAGUAGCUUGAAGGAUGAAGGCUAAUGGGUGGUAAACUUCUUUUAUAUAAGAAUAUGUAUUAUAUGAAUAAGGAUCGGCUAACUCCGUGCCAGCAGCCGCGGUAAUAC
rnacentral:rRNA from 1 species